GGAAAUUCUUCAUCGCCGCCUCCUCCCUUCUCCUGUCCCGCGCCGUCUCUCACCGAUCUCCGUCGCGGAUCAUCACUCGCUGCCUCUGCGCUCAAUCGGAGAACCCCCAACAACGGCGCCCAGGUCCACACUCUCUCUAUAGAAGUUUGGUUAAUCAAGGGAAACUUCAACAUGAUAAAUAUCAGGACAACGUUGCUUUGGAG
rnacentral:misc_RNA from 1 species